rnacentral:rRNA from 1 species
CAAUAGCGUAUAUUUAAGUUGUUGCAGUUAAAAAGCUCGUAGUUGGAUUUCGGGUGGGACGCAGCGGUCUCGCAUUGCGUUUGUACUGCUGCAGCCCUCCUUCUUGCCGGGGGCGGCCUCUCGGACUUCACUGUCUGGGGGUCAGAAUCGGCGAUGUUACUUUGAGUAAAUUAGAGUGUUCAAAGCAAGCUUACGCUCUGAAUAUAAUAGCAUGGGAUAACACGACAGGACUCUGGCCUAUCGUGUUGGUCUAUAGGACCAGAGUAAUGAUUAAGAGGGACAGUCGGGGGCAUUCGUAUUCCGUUGUCAGAGGUGAAAUUCUUGGAUUUACGGAAGACGAACAUCUGCGAAAGCAUUUGCCAAGGGUGUUUNCAUUGA